AAGUAGCUGGGAUUACAGGCACCUGCCACCAUGCCUAGCUCAUUUUUGUAUUUUUACUUGAGAUGGGGUUUCACCAUGUUGUCCAGGCUGGUCUUGAACUCCUGACUUCAGGUGAUCUGCCCGACUCGGUCUCCCAAAGUGCUGGGAUUACAGGCGUGAGCCACCCCUGAACAUUCCCUCUUAUUGUGCUUAAACUCCCACUGAAUUGUGGGAGUUAGGUAAACAGUGCUGGCAGUGUCAGAAGGAACUAAUAGCAUUUCUUGCAUCAACUCCAGGAAGGAGAAGCUGGUUUCUAUCACAACUCACCCUCCCUUCAUCAGUGGCUAAAGCUGUGCCAGCAGCUGACACAGGGGCAAGAUGACCACACCUUAAUCAAGUGACUAAUGGCAGCCAUAUGGACUGUUUAGAACAAUGCUGGAGGGAUAGAAAAACUAUUUAGAAGUGGCAACAGCCCUCUUGGGAUUGGAUCAUGUGGCUGAGACAGUCUUUCUGGCAUGAGGGAACCAGGACACUGCAUGGCUGGCUUGUGCCCAGAAAGAGAAAGAGUUAAGCUGCUGAUCAUGAAGGCAGGGAAGAGCCAGCUGUGCAGCUGGAUGUGGGAGCUGCCAGCCCAAGCAACUGAGACUGGGAAGACAGUGUAAAGAGCGAGUGUGAGAAAGUUGUUAAUGAAAGUUGCUGCUGAAUAAAACCAUAUUCACCUGCCUAACGCCCCCUGAG
rnacentral:lncRNA from 13 species